rnacentral:rRNA from 1 species
AUUGAACGCUGGCGGCAUGCCUAACACAUGCAAGUCGAGCGGAUGAAGGGAGCUUGCUCCUGGAUUCAGCGGCGGACGGGUGAGUAAUGCCUAGGAAUCUGCCUGGUAGUGGGGGAUAACGUCCGGAAACGGGCGCUAAUACCGCAUACGUCCUGAGGGAGAAAGUGGGGGAUCUUCGGACCUCACGCUAUCAGAUGAGCCUAGGUCGGAUUAGCUAGUUGGUGGGGUAAAGGCCUACCAAGGCGACGAUCCGUAACUGGUCUGAGAGGAUGAGCAGUCACACUGGAACUGAGACACGGUCCAGACUCCUACGGGAGGCAGCAGUGGGGAAUAUUGGACAAUGGGCGAAAGCCUGAUCCAGCCAUGCCGCGUGUGUGAAGAAGGUCUUCGGAUUGUAAAGCACUUUAAGUUGGGAGGAAGGGCAGUAAGUUAAUACCUUGCUGUUUUGACGUUACCAAAAGAAUAAGCACCGGCUAACUUCGUG